rnacentral:rRNA from 1 species
UGCAUGUCUAAGUAUAAGCAAUUAUACAGUGAAACUGCGAAUGGCUCAUUAAAUCAGUUAUCGUUUAUUUGAUAGUACCUUACUACUUGGAUAACCGUGGUAAUUCUAGAGCUAAUACAUGCUAAAACCCCGACUUCUGGAAGGGGUGUAUUUAUUAGAUAAAAAAUCAAUGCGUUUUUCGCUCUUUGAUGAUUCAUAAUAACUUUUCGAAUCGCAUGGCCUUGUGCUGGCGAUGGUUCAUUCAAAUUUCUGCCCUAUCAACUUUCGAUGGUAGGAUAGUGGCCUACCAUGGUUUCAACGGGUAACGGGGAAUAAGGGUUCGAUUCCGGAGAGGGAGCCUGAGAAACGGCUACCACAUCCAAGGAAGGCAGCAGGCGCGCAAAUUACCCAAUCCCGAUACGGGGAGGUAGUGACAAUAAAUAACGAUACAGGGCCCUUUCGGGUCUUGUAAUUGGAAUGAGUACAAUGUAAAUACCUUAACGAGGAACAAUUGGAGGGCAAGUCUGGUGCCAGCAGCCGCGGUAAUUCCAGCUCCAAAAGCGUAUAUUAAAGUUGUUGCAGUUAAAAAGCUCGUAGUUGAACCUUGGGCUUGGUUGGCCGGUCCGCUUUUUGCGAGUACUGACCCAACCGAGCCUUUCCUUCUGGGUAACCGUUCUUUCGGGGACGGCGAACCAGGACUUUUACUUUGAAAAAAUUAGAGUGUUCAAAGCAGGCCUUUGCUCGAAUAUAUUAGCAUGGAAUAAUAGAAUAGGACGUUAUGGUUCUAUUUUGUUGGUUUCUAGGACCAUCGUAAUGAUUAAUAGGGACGGACGGGGGCAUCAGUAUUAAGUUGUCAGAGG